GACGAACGCUGGCGGCGUGCUUAACACAUGCAAGUCGAACGGAAAGGCCCUGCUUUUGUGGGGUGCUCGAGUGGCGAACGGGUGAGUAACACGUGAGUAACCUGCCCUUGACUUUGGGAUAACUUCAGGAAACUGGGGCUAAUACCGGAUAGGAGCUCCUGCUGCAUGGUGGGGGUUGGAAAGUUUCGGCGGUUGGGGAUGGACUCGCGGCUUAUCAGCUUGUUGGUGGGGUAGUGGCUUACCAAGGCGUUGACGGGUAGCCGGCCUGAGAGGGUGACCGGCAACAUUGGGACUGAGAUACGGCCCAGACUCAUGCGGGAGGAAGGAGUGGGGAAUAUUGCACAAUGGGCGGAAGCCUGAUGCAGCAACGCCGCGUGCGGGAUGACGGACGUCGGGUUGUAAACCGCUUUCGCCUGUGACGAAGCGUGAGUGACGGUAAUGGGUAAAGAAGCACCGGCUAACUCCGUG
rnacentral:rRNA from 1 species